rnacentral:rRNA from 1 species
UCCGUAGGCGGCAUAGAAAGUCGGAUGUGAAAUCCCGCAGCUCAACUGCGGAACUGCAUUCGAAACUUCUAAGCUAGAGUGUGAGAGAGGUGAAGGGAAUUCCCGGUGUAAGGGUGAAAUCUGCAGAGAUCGGGAAGAACACCAGUAGCGAAGGCGCUUCACUGGCUCACUACUGACGCUGAGGGACGAAAGCUAGGGUAGCAAACAGGAUUAGAUACCCUGGUAGUC